rnacentral:tRNA from 1 species
CGAGUCAGAGCUUGUUUAAAGCAUUUUAUUUACACUAAAAAGUUAACUGUUAAAAUCAGUUUGACUUGA